AUUGAACGCUGGCGGCAUGCCUUACACAUGCAAGUCGAACGGCAGCACGGGAGCAAUCCUGGUGGCGAGUGGCGAACGGGUGAGUAAUAUAUCGGAACGUGCCCAGUCGUGGGGGAUAACGUAGCGAAAGCUACGCUAAUACCGCAUACGAUCUAUGGAUGAAAGCGGGGGAUCGCAAGACCUCGCGCGAUUGGAGCGGCCGAUAUCAGAUUAGGUAGUUGGUGAGGUAAAGGCUCACCAAGCCGACGAUCUGUAGCUGGUCUGAGAGGACGACCAGCCACACUGGGACUGAGACACGGCCCAGACUCCUACGGGAGGCAGCAGUGGGGAAUUUUUGGGACAAUGGGCGCAAGCCUGAUCCAGCAAUGCCGCGUGCAGGAUGAAGGCCUUCGGUGUAACUG
rnacentral:rRNA from 1 species